rnacentral:rRNA from 1 species
UACGGAGGGGGCUAGCGUUGUUCGGAAUUACUGGGCGUAAAGCGCGCGUAGGCGGACCUGCAAGUCGGGGGUGAAAGCCCGAGGCUCAACCUCGGAACUGCCUUCGAUACUGCGGGUCUCGAGUCCGGGAGAGGUGAGUGGAAUUCCUAGUGUAGAGGUGAAAUUCGUAGAUAUUAGGAAGAACACCAGUGGCGAAGGCGGCUCACUGGCUCGGUACUGACGCUGAGGCGCGAAAGCCAGGGGAGCGAACGGG